rnacentral:lncRNA from 7 species
UGGGACAUAUGUGUUUGUCUUUAUCAUGGUCAUGUGUGAACAGUGACAUAGUUCAUAACAAAUGGUUCUUCAUUGCUUUGUUUGUAAAGCAUGUAUUUUCGCUUAACCUGAAUUGCUGAUAUGCUCCCUGGUUUUAAAGAAGGCCAUGAGAAAAUGUCAAAGAGUGAUCCAUCCUCGACUAUUUUUAUGGAAGAUGAUAAGUGGAGAUGGUAGCAUGGUGAAGGACAAUGCCUGACUAGAAUGUUGUACAGUUGCAGUAUAUGUUCCUCAUCUCCUUGCUAGAAAAUAAAGCUGUAUCACUUCAUUAAAAAUCUGGUGUUCAUCUAUAUAUAUACGGGGGUGAUGCACCGUUUAUAGUAAUAUAUGAAAAGUUGGUGUAAUUGAUUAACCAUUGUCAUGCAUGCUAAUUAGUUGUGCAUUUUAUUUCCUUAUAGAGCGGCAUGUUCAAG